UACGGAGGAUCCAAGCGUUAUCCGGAUUUAUUGGGUUUAAAGGGUGCGUAGGAGGCCUGUUAAGUCAGGGGUGAAAGACGGUAGCUCAACUAUCGCAGUGACUUUGAUACUGAUGGGCUUGAAUACACUUGAGGUAGGCGGAAUGUGACAAGUAGCGGUGAAAUGCAUAUAUAUGUCACAGAACACCAAUUGCGAAGGCAGCUUACUGGAGUGUGAUUGACGCUGAGGCACGAAAGCGAGGGGAUCAAACAGG
rnacentral:rRNA from 1 species